rnacentral:rRNA from 1 species
CGCUAAUACCGCAUACGUCCUACGGGAGAAAGCAGGGGACCUUCGGGCCUUGCGCUAUCAGAUGAGCCUAGGUCGGAUUAGCUAGUUGGUGAGGUAAUGGCUCACCAAGGCGACGAUCCGUAACUGGUCUGAGAGGAUGAUCAGUCACACUGGAACUGAGACACGGUCCAGACUCCUACGGGAGGCAGCAGUGGGGAAUAUUGGACAAUGGGCGAAAGCCUGAUCCAGCCAUGCCGCGUGUGUGAAGAAGGUCUUCGGAUUGUAAAGCACUUUAAGUUGGGAGGAAGGGCAUUAACCUAAUACGUUAGUGUUUUGACGUUACCGACAGAAUAAGCACCGGCUAACUCUGUGCCAGCAGCCGCGGUAAUACAGAGGGUGCAAGCGUUAAUCGGAAUUACUGGGCGUAAAGCGCGCGUAGGUGGUUUGUUAAGUUGGAUGUGAAAGCCCCGGGCUCAACCUGGGGAACUGCAUCCAAAACUGGCAAGCUAGAGUACGGUAGA